rnacentral:tRNA from 1 species
AUUAGGAUGGCAGAUCAGUGCUUAGGAUUUAAGAUCCUAAUAGGGAGUGAAUAUAAGUUAUUUGUACUCUUUCUAAUA